rnacentral:rRNA from 1 species
AGGGAAUUUUGGACAAUGGGCGAAAGCCUGAUCCAGCGACGCCGCGUGGGGGAUGAAGGCCUUCGGGUUGUAAAGCCCUGUCGGGAGGGACGAAACCUUGGGUACCCCCCAAGCUGACGGUACCUCCAAAGGAAGCACCGGCUAACUCUGUGCCAGCAGCCGCGGUAAUACAGAGGGUGCAAGCGUUGUUCGGAAUUACUGGGCGUAAAGCGCGUGUAGGCGGUUUUUCAAGUCCUGUGUGAAAGCCCUGGGCUCAACCCAGGAAGUGCGCAGGAUACUGGAUGACUGGAGUGGCGGAGAGGAUGGCGGAAUUCCCGGUGUAGAGGUGAAAUUCGUAGAUAUCGGGAGGAACACCUGUGGCGAAGGCGGCCAUCUGGACGUUCACUGACGCUGAGACGCGAAAGCGUGGGUAGCAAA